GGCGAAGUGGACGAGCGGCUUAAAUCAACUGCUUGGAAAGCAGUCGCGUGGUUCUAACCGCGCCGAGGGUUCGAAUCCCUCCUUCGCCGCCA
rnacentral:tRNA from 1 species